CUUCUCCCUUCCUCCUUCCCUUCUCCCUUCCCUCCUUCCCUUCUCCCUUCCCUCCUUCCCUUCUCCCUUCCCUCCUUCCCUUCUCCCUUCCCUCCUUCCCUUCUCCCUUCCCUCCUUCCCUUCUCCAUGCCCCACUGAACAGGAACGACUGUUGGUGUAGACUUCUUAGUGGACUUCUCCCUUUCUGUCCACUUAGUUCAUGCUCCAAUCACAUCAGCGUGUCAAUGUGUGUUUCCAAAUCAUAGAUGUACUAUUGUGAUGUCACUGUGUACACACACACACACACACACAGAUAUUCCACAUCUCUCUGGAGUGUGUGUAGUUCUGCACUGUCACAGAAUGAAACAGUGAUGUAACAGAAUGAAACAGUGAUGUAACAGAAUGAAACAGUGAUGUCACAGAAUGGAACAGUGAUGUCACAGAAUGGAACAGUGAUGUCACAGAAUGGAACAGUGAUGUCACAGAAUGGAACAGGGAUGUCACAGCUAGGGAACUGAGAAGUGUGGAGUUACAGGCCCGAUAUCCGAGGGGACGGUUUUCAGGGUCACACCGUUUCCCAGACACAGACACUGAAGCUGCUGAAACAGCUUUUAAAACAGAAACACAAGAAGAAGAAGAAAAUUCAAUUGACGAUAAUCAUCUCAGCUUUGGACUUGAGGGAGG
rnacentral:lncRNA from 1 species